GCCGUUUGCGCGUGCGCAUUACAUCUCCGGGCGUGAGGGCGGGGAGGCCUGGAUGAUUUAACCCGCGACAACCGCUGGUGGGAAGCACUUGCGGUCGCCGAUGAGCACAUAGGCCCCUUCUCAUCCAGCAGCCACCACUUUCCCAGUGACCAUGAUAGCUCAUCCUUCUGAGAAACUUUUAGGAAAUAAGAAAAAUGAUGCUACAAGGUACUGGAGAAUGACACACAGGAGGACAACUUGGUUCUACACUGCUGGAAUACCAACUUGAAAUGGGCUAUAGUCUUUUAGCAGGCUUCUCCAAUCACCUUGCUAUAAUAGUUGUUCUGUUUCUGUCCCUGCAUAUCCUUAUACUUUAUAAGAAACCAGAUAUUAGUGUCUAAAUAAAUGGUUUAAAUAUGAAAUUUUAAAGCAUAAACCAUCAAUUGUUUUAGUCUACUUUUAUUUCAAGUUAAAAAUUGUAUGAUGUCUACAGUAGGUACUGUAAAAUGCUUGCAUAAGACUGUAAUAUGAAUAUGACAGUUUGACAUUUGUUUUCUGUUUAUUUGCUGUUUGAAUAUAAUAAAUCACUGCUCUAAUUUUCUAUACAAGUGUUUGUUUAAGUAUACAGAUAAACAUUUCUUUCCCCA
rnacentral:lncRNA from 1 species